rfam:Glycine soja cultivar W05 scaffold975_28, whole genome shotgun sequence.
UGCCAAUGAUGAGAGAAAUAGUACAUAUGUAAUGUAUGAUUUUUCAUGAUUACAGAACCUACUGCCUUCCUUCUGAGGCG